GACGAACGCUGGCGGCGUGCUUAACACAUGCAAGUCGAACGGAAAGGCCCUGCUUUUGUGGGGUGCUCGAGUGGCGAACGGGUGAGUAACACGUGAGAAACCUGCCCUUGACUUUGGGAUAACUUCAGGAAACUGGGGCUAAUACCGGAUAGGAGCUCCUGCCGCAUGGUGGGGGUUGGAAAGUUUCGGCGGUUGGGGAUGGACUCGCGGCUUAUCAGCUUGUUGGUGGGGUAGUGGCUUACCAAGGCUUUGACGGGUAGCCGGCCUGAGAGGGUGACCGGCCACAUUGGGACUGAGAUACGGCCCAGACUCCUACGGGAGGCAGCAGUGGGGAAUAUUGCACAAUGGGCGGAAGCCUGAUGCAGCAACGCCGCGUGCGGGAUGACGGCCUUCGGGUUGUAAACCGCUUUCGCCUGUGACGAAGCGUGAGUGACGGUAAUGGGUAAAGAAGCACCGGCUAACUACGUG
rnacentral:rRNA from 1 species